rfam:Zea mays cultivar B73 chromosome 7, whole genome shotgun sequence.
GAGCCUGUGAUGAUUAGCUAUACAUUUGGAAUUACCGUCAGUUUUACUUGUGAAGACAGUUGUCUGGCUUUAUGAGGCUUUUG